rnacentral:rRNA from 2 species
UAAAACUCUGUUGUUAGGGAAGAACAAGUACGAGAGUAACUGCUCGUACCUUGACGGUACCUAACCAGAAAGCCACGGCUAACUACGUGCCAGCAGCCGCGGUAAUACGUAGGUGGCAAGCGUUAUCCGGAAUUAUUGGGCGUAAAGCGCGCGCAGGCGGUUUCUUAAGUCUGAUGUGAAAGCCCACGGCUCAACCGUGGAGGGUCAUUGGAAACUGGGGAACUUGAGUGCAGAAGAGAAAAGCGGAAUUCCACGUGUAGCGGUGAAAUGCGUAGAGAUGUGGAGGAACACCAGUGGCGAAGGCGGCUUUUUGGUCUGUAACUGACGCUGAGGCGCGAAAGCGUGGGGAGCAAA